CACAGGUGCGUAUACUACACACCGGCUCACGAUCUGUCUAUCUGCUGUCAGAAUAUAAAAAGGGCGAGGGAGGAACGACCAGGGGGACCACGGAGGAGGAAACACCAGGCAGCAGACCAGAAGCGCGACAGCCGACCCGACAAGAGCGAUGACGCACCCCCGCAGCGGACGCAAGCCCCGGACGCCGAAAGGCGUGCAGCGGCAGCAGACGAGCCGAAGGAGCGCACUGAAAAGUGCCUCGACCGAAGGGCCAAGUGACAACAUAUUUGUGGAAACAAUAAAUCAAUGCUGCUAUGAUGUGUCAUGUGUCAGGUGUCCCCGCAACCCACACGAGGACGGCAGGAAGUCCGUUACAAUGGCGCCCAACCGAGGAAGACCUGAAGAAGCGGAGGACGACGGCGUCAUCUGGGCUCUCGUGGCAAGUUACACCAGGCUGCUCGAAAAGAAAUGCAGGAAACCCAAAUGAUGCUAGCAUUGUCGGAAACGACAAAAGAAGAAGCCAGGAAAGCUGGUGUCGAGGCCAUCUACCUGGGAGGCGAGCUGUCGGCCAAAUGGAAGGAGGACGAGGGCUCCCCGGAAGCAGCAUAUAUGGAAGAGACUUUUGUUGAAUAUUACGGUAAAAAAGAAGAGGAAGAAAUUUUCGUUGAAGAUGAAAGUUACUUUAAUGGUGAAGUUGAUAAAAUUUUAAUGGUGAAGUUGAUAAAAUUUAUGUUAAAAAAGUUGAUAAUGAUGGAAAGGUAAAAGAAGGUGAAGUCCAAGAAAAUGAUGAAGAAAAAUAAAUAAUUGAAGAAAUUCUGGAAGAGAAUGAAGAUUAUGACAAGGAAGAAGAGUACAAUGAGGAUGAAAAGGAGAAAGAAGAAAUAAUUGAAGAAAUUCUACAAGAUUAUGAAGAUGAUAAAAAUGAAGUAAUUGAAGAUGAAAAGGAAGUUAAAAAUAAAGAAGUUAAAGAACAAGAAUUUAAAACUCAAGAAAUUGAGGAAGAAGAAAUAAUUGAAGAAAUCCUAGAAGAAGAUGAAGAUGAAGACAAUGAAGAUGAAGGAGAAAUCGAAGAGGAAGACAAAGUCGAGGUACCUCAAGGAAUUGAGGAAAAAGUUAUUGUAGAAAUGCAAGAAAAGGAAGACGAGGACAAAGACAAAGAAAAACCUAAACGAGAAGAAGUAACUCAAGAAAUUGAAAUAGAACAAAUAAUUGAAUUGCUGGAAAGUGAUGAAGACGAACAAGAAAACAAAGAAAUUAAGAGGAUAAGUCUUGGAAAAUGCAAGAAAAGGAAGAAGACAAAGAAAAACUUGAACGAGAAGAAGUAACUCAAGAAAUUUGAAAUAGAACAAAUAAUUGAAUUGCUGGAAAGUGAUGAAGACGAACAAGAAAACGAAGAAAUUGAGAGAAAAAGUCUUGGAAAAUGCAAGAAAAGGAAGAAGAAGACAAAGAAAAACUUGAACGAGAAGAAGUAACUCAAGAAAUUGAAAAAGAAGAAAUAAUUGAAGAAUUGCUGGAAAGUGAUGAAGACGAACAAGAAAAGGAAGAAGACAAAGAAAAACUUGAACGACAAGUAACUCAAGAAAUUGAAAUAGAAGAAAUAAUUGAAUAAUUGCUGGAAAAUGAUGAAGAUGGAAAAGAAGAGGAGGAAAUUGAGAAUGAAGAACAGUGGAGAAAAGCUCAAGACAUUCUUGGAGAAAUGCAAGAAAAGAAAGAAGAGGACAAGGAAAGACUCACAAAAGACAAAGAAAAGAGGCAAAAAAGUCAGAAGGCCACAACAAUUUUUUUCCCGCUCCAGUAAGGAAACAGGGGGGGGGGAGCACACUCGGCCGGACUGGAGCCCGGCCUCGAACUGAUGGGGGAGGUAUGUGGAGAGACACCGCCGACAACGGGCGGAAAGCAGCAGCGCGGGCCCACCUGGAGGCUGGGAGGCGGGGCAUGCGGCGGCAGGAGGAGGCGUGAUGCACGCGGAGCGACGCUGCAGCGGCAAUCUAACACAGGGGGACCACGGAGGAGGAAACACCAGGCAGCAGACCAGAAGCGCGACAGCCGACCCGACAAGAACGAUGACGCACCCCCGCAGCGGACGCAAGCCCCGGACGCCGAAAGGCGUGCAGCGGCAGCAGACGAGCCGAAGGAGCGCACUGAAAAGUGCCUCGACCGAAGGGCCAAGUGACAACAUAUUUGUGGAAACAAUAAAUCAAUGCUGCUA